rnacentral:rRNA from 1 species
AACGAACGCUGGCGGCAUGCCUAACACAUGCAAGUCGAACGAGACCUUCGGGUCUAGUGGCGCACGGGUGCGUAACGCGUGGGAAUCUGCCCUUGGGCUCGGAAUAACAGUUGGAAACGACUGCUAAUACCGGAUGAUGACGUAAGUCCAAAGAUUUAUCGCCCAAGGAUGAGCCCGCGUAGGAUUAGCUAGUUGGUGAGGUAAAGGCUCACCAAGGCGACGAUCCUUAGCUGGUCUGAGAGGAUGAUCAGCCACACUGGGACUGAGACACGGCCCAGACUCCUACGGGAGGCAGCAGUGGGGAAUAUUGGACAAUGGGCGAAAGCCUGAUCCAGCAAUGCCGCGUGAGUGAUGAAGGCCUUAGGGUUGUAAAGCUCUUUUACCCGGGAUGACAAUGACAGUACCGGGAGAAUAAGCUCCGGCUAACUCCGUG